rnacentral:rRNA from 1 species
UUCCUUGGAAAAGGACAGCUGAGAGGGUGAAACUCCCGUCCGCCUGGUAGAAUGAGUCUUUGUCAACGAGUCGAGUUGUUUGGGAUUGCAGCUCUAAUUUGGUGGUAAAUUCCAUCUAAAGCUAAAUAUUGGUGGGAGACCGAUAGCGUACAAGUACCGUGAGGGAAAGAUGCAAAGAACUUUGAAAAGAGAGUUAAAGAGUACUUGAAAUUGCUGAAACGGAAGCGAAGGAAACCAGUGUUUGUUGGUUCAUAUUUCCUUGGCCACUUGUGGUUUGGGCG